rnacentral:rRNA from 1 species
CCUACGGGUGGCAGCAGUAGGGAAUAUUGCGCAAUGGACGAAAGCCUGACGCAGCAACGCCGCGUGCGGGAUGAAGGCCUUCGGGUUGUAAACCGCUUUCAGCAGGGACGAAAUUGACGGUACCUGCAGAAGAAGCCCCGGCCAACUACGUGCCAGCAGCCGCGGUAACACGUAGGGGGCGAGCGUUGUCCGGAUUUAUUGGGCGUAAAGAGCUCGUAGGCGGUUUCGUUAGUCGGGUGUGAAAACCCCAGGCUCAACCUGGGGACGCCACCCGAUACUGCGAUGACUAGAGUCCGGUAGGGGAGUGUGGAAUUCCUGGUGUAGCGGUGAAAUGCGCAGAUAUCAGGAGGAACACCAACGGCGAAGGCAGCACUCUGGGCCGGAACUGACGCUGAGGAGCGAAAGCGUGGGGAGCAAACAGGAUUAGAUACCCCUGUAG